rnacentral:rRNA from 1 species
UACAGAGGGGGCAAGCGUUGUUCGGAAUUACUGGGCGUAAAGGGCGUGUAGGCGGCCUUCUUAGUCGAACGUGAAAUCCCCGGGCUCAACCCGGGAACUGCGUCCAAUACUGGAAGGCUCGAAUCCGGGAGAGGGAUGUGGAAUUCCAGGUGUGGCGGUGAAAUGCGUAGAUAUCUGGAGGAACACCGGUGGCGAAGGCGACAUCCUGGACCGGUAUUGACGCUGAGGCGCGAAAGCCAGGGGAGCAAACGGG